rnacentral:rRNA from 1 species
AGAGUUUCAUUCUGGCUCAGGAUGAACGCCGGCGGUGUGCCUAAUACAUGCAAGUCGAGCGCACUGGCCCAACUGAUAUGACGUGCUUGCACUGAUUUGACGAUGGAUCACCAGUGAGCGGCGGACGGGUGAGUAACACGUGGGCAACCUGCCCUGGAGCGGGGGAUAACAUUUGGAAACAGAUGCUAAUACCGCAUAACAAUCAAAACCACAUGGUUUUGAUUUCAAAGAUGGCUUCGGCUAUCACUCCAGGAUGGGCCCGCGGUGCAUUAGCUAGUUGGUAAGGUAACGGCUUACCAAGGCGACGAUGCAUAGCCGAGUUGAGAGACUGAUCGGCCACAUUGGGACUGAGACACGGCCCAAACUCCUACGGGAGGCAGCAGUAGGGAAUCUUCCACAAUGGACGCAAGUCUGAUGGAGCAACGCCGCGUGAGUGAAGAAGGCUUUCGGGUCGUAAAACUCUGUUGUUGGAGAAGAAUGGUCGGCAGAGUAACUGUUGUCGGCGUGACGGUAUCCAACCAGAAAGCCACGGCUAACUACGUGCCAGCAGCCGCGGUAAUACGUAGGGUGCAAGCGUUAUCCGGAUUUAUUGGGCGUAAAGCGAGCGCAGGCGGUUUUUUAAGUCUGAUGUGAAAGCCCUCGGCUUAACCGAGGAAGUGCAUCGGAAACUGGGAAACUUGAGUGCAGAAAAGGACAGUGGAACUCCAUGUGUAGCGGUGAAAUGCGUAGAUAUCGGGAAGAACACCAGUGGCGAAGGCGGCUCUCUGGUCUGUAACUGACGCUGAGGCUCGAAAGCAUGGGUAGCGAACAGGAUUAGAUACCCUGGUAGUCCAUGCCGUAAACGAUGAAUGCUAGGUGUUGGAGGGUUUCCGCCCUUCAGUGCCGCAGCUAACGCAUUAAGCAUUCCGCCUGGGGAGUACGGUCGCAAGAUUAAAACUCAAAGGAAUUGACGGGGGCCCGCACAAGCAGCGGAGCAUGUGGUUUAAUUCGAAGCAACGCGAAGAACCUUACCUAGACUUGACAUCUCCUGCAUUACUCUUAAUCGAGGAAAUCCCUUCGGGGACAAGGUGACAGGUGGUGCAUGGUUGUCGUCAGCUCGUGCCGUGAGAUGUUGGGUUAAGUCCCGCAACGAGCGCAACCCUUGUUAUUAGUUGCCAGCAUUAAGUUGGGCACUCUAAUGAGACUGCCGGUGACAAACCGGAGGAAGGCGGGGACGACGUCAAAUCAUCAUGCCCCUUAUGAUUUGGGCUACACACGUGCUACAAUGGCGUAAACAAAGGGAAGCGAGCCCGCGAGGGGGAGCAAAUCCCAAAAAUAACGUCCCAGUUCGGACUGCAGUCUGCAACUCGACUGCACGAAGCUGGAAUCGCUAGUAAUCGCGAAUCAGAAUGUCGCGGUGAAUACGUUCCCGGGUCUUGCACACACCGCCCGUCA